rnacentral:rRNA from 1 species
CAGUAGCCGCGGGAAUACGGAGGGUGCAAGCGUUAAUCGGAAUUACUGGGCGUAAAGCGCACGCAGGCCGUCUGUCAAGUCAGAUGUGAAAUCCCCGGGCUUAACCUGGGAACUGCAUUUGAAACUGGCAGGCUAGAGUCUUGUAGAGGGGGGUAGAAUUCCAGGUGUAGCGGUGAAAUGCGUAGAGAUCUGGAGGAAUACCGGUGGCGAAGGCGGCCCCCUGGACAAAGACUGACGCUCAGGUGCGAAAGCGUGGGGAGCAAACAGGAUUAGAUACCCCAGUAGUCCCUGUCUCUUAUAC